CCUACGGGAGGCAGCAGUGGGGAAUAUUGCACAAUGGCGGAAACCCUGAUGCAGCGACAUCGCGUGAAGGAAGAAGUACCUAGGUAUGUAAACUCUUAUCAGUCGGGAAGAAAAUGACGGUACCUGUCUAAGUAGCCCCGGCUAACUACGUGCCAGCAGCCGCGGCAAUACGUAGGGGGCAAGCGUUAUCCGGAUUUACUGGGUGUAAAGGGAGCGUAGGCGGUGUAGCAAGUCAGAAGUGAAAGCCCGGGGUUCAACUCCGGGACUGCUUUUGAAACUGUUGAACUAGAUUGCAGGAGAGGUAAGUGGAAUGCCUGGUGUAGCGGUGAAAUGCGUAGAUAUUAGGAGGAACACCAGUGGCGAAGGCAGCAUACUGGACUGUGAAUGACGCUGAGGCUCGAAAGCGUGGGGAGCGAACAGGAUUAGAUACCCCAGUAGUC
rnacentral:rRNA from 1 species